GGCGAACGCUGGCGGCGUGCUUAACACAUGCAAGUCGAACGGAAAGGCUCCAGCUUGCUGGAGUACUCGAGUGGCGAACGGGUGAGUAACACGUGGGUAAUCUGCCCUGCACUCUGGGAUAAGCCUGGGAAACUGGGUCUAAUACUGGAUAUGACCUUUCUCCUUAUGGGGUUUGGUGGAAAGUUUUUCGGUGUAGGAUGAGCCCGCGGCCUAUCAGCUUGUUGGUGGGGUGAUGGCCUACCAAGGCGACGACGGGUAGCCGGCCUGAGAGGGUGAUCGGCCACAUUGGGACUGAGAUACGGCCCAGACUCCUACGGGAGGCAGCAGUGGGGAAUAUUGCACAAUGGGCGGAAGCCUGAUGCAGCGACGCCGCGUGAGGGAUGACGGCCUUCGGGUUGUAAACCUCUUUCAGCAGGGACGAAGCGUAAGUGACGGUACCUGCAGAAGAAGCACCGGCUAACUACGUG
rnacentral:rRNA from 1 species